rnacentral:rRNA from 1 species
AGCCAUGCAUGUCUAAGUACAAACUUUUACACGGUGAAACCGCGAAUGGCUCAUUAAAUCAGUUAUGGUUUAUUAGAUGGUGCUAUCCUACUUGGAUAACUGUGGUAAUUCUAGAGCUAAUACAUGCGACAAAGCUCCGACCCUCGUUGGAAAGAGCGCUUUUAUUAGAUCAAGACCAACCGGUAUCGCUCUCGGGCGUGCCGUCGGAUUGAUGACUCUGGAUAACCUUUGCCGAUCGUAUGGCCCCGCGCCGACGACGCAUCUUUCAAAUGUCUGCCCUAUCAACUUUCGUUGGUAGGUGAUUUGCCUACCAAGGUGUUUACGGGUAACGGGGGAUCAGGGUUCGAUCCCGGAGAGGGAGCAUGAGAAACGGCUACCACAUCCAAGGAAGGCAGCAGGCGCGCAAAUUACCCACUCUUAGCACGAGGAGGUAGUGACGAAAAAUAACAAUACGGGACUCUUUCGAGGCCCCGUAAUUGGAAUGAGUACACUCUAAACCCGUUAACGAGGAUCUAUUGGAGGGCAAGUCUGGUGCCAGCAGCCGCGGUAAUUCCAGCUCCAAUAGCGUAUAUUAAAGCUGUUGCAGUUAAAAAGCUCGUAGUCGGAUUUCGGGCGGCGGCCAAUGGUUCGGUUCCGUGCCGAUACUGCUGGUCGCGGCCUCCACGCCGGUCGUCUUUCGGUGCUCUURAYUGAGUGCCUUAAGUAGCCGGAGCGUUUACUUUGAAAAAAUUAGAGUGUUCAAGGCAGGCUUCGAGCCUGAAUGAUGGUGCAUGGAAUAAUGGAAUAGGACCUCGGUUCUAUUUUGUUGGUCUUCGGAACUGGAGGUAAUGAUUAAUAGGGACGGACGGGGGCAUUCGUAUUGCGGCGUUAGAGGUGAAAUUCUUGGAUCGUCGCAAGACGGACUACUGCGAAAGCAUUUGCCAAGAAUGUUUUCAUUGAUCAAGAGCGAAAGUCAGAGGAUCGAAGACGAUCAGAUACCGUCCUAGUUCUGACCAUAAACGAUGCCGACUAGCGAUCCGGCUCCGUUGCUUCAUAAGACUGGCCGGGCAGCUCCCGGGAAACCAAAGUCUAUGGGUUCCGGGGGAAGUAUGGUUGCAAAGCUGAAACUUAAAGGAAUUGACGGAAGGGCACCACCAGGAGUGGAGCCUGCGGCUUAAUUUGACUCAACACGGGAAAACUCACCCGGCCCGGACACCGUAAGGAUUGACAGAUUGAAAGCUCUUUCUUGAUUCGGUGGGUGGUGGUGCAUGGCC